UCGGCGUUACAAGUCACUUCGCCACGCCGCCACACCCAGCUGCUUCAUCGCAGCCGGUCGGGGUUGGAAUCCUCAACACACCAACAUGUCUUCUGUCUCUGGACACAGUUUCAUGUUGAUUAGGUCAAAGGGCUAAGAUAGCGACCGUUCACAGUAAAACAUUACACUUCCUGUUCUCAGGGGGCGUGGCCUAAGU